ACUACCGAUUGAAUGGCUCAGUGAGGCGUUCGGACUGGCUCGGGGAGGUUGGCAACGACCACCCCAAGCCGGAAAGUUCGUCAAACUCGGUCAUUUAGAGGAAGUAAAAGUCGUAACAAGGUC
rnacentral:rRNA from 1 species